CCUACGGGAGGCUGCAGUGAGGAAUAUUGGUCAAUGGGCUUACGCCUGAACCAGCCAAGUCGCGUGAGGGAAGACUGCCCUAUGGGUUGUAAACCUCUUUUGUCAGGGAGCAAUUGGCGCUACGUGUAGCGUUAUCGAGAGUACCUGAAGAAAAAGCAUCGGCUAACUCCGUGCCAGCAGCCGCGGUAAUACGGAGGAUCCGAGCGUUAUCCGGAUUUAUUGGGUUUAAAGGGAGCGUAGGUGGAUUGUUAAGUCAGUUGUGAAAGUUUGCGGCUCAACCGUAAAAUUGCAGUUGAAACUGGCAGUCUUGAGUACAGUAGAGGUGGGCGGAAUUCGUGGUGUAGCGGUGAAAUGCUUAGAUAUCACGAAGAACUCCGAUUGCGAAGGCAGUUCACUGGACUGCAACUGACACUGAGGCUCGAAAGUGUGGGUAUCAAACAGGAUUAGAUACCCCUGUAGUC
rnacentral:rRNA from 1 species